UUUCCCACUAACUUUUGGUAUUGUUCUUUGUUUGCAACCAUAUACUCUUGUUGAUCUCCCAAACCAUGAUUAUGAUACUCGAGCAUCUUGUUUAAGCAAGAAGGUCAAGUACAUAUUUCUGGUUUGAUAAGAAAAAACCUUGGUUAGACCUUGCCACCUCAAUUUCUAGGAAGUUUUUUAAUCCUCCUAGAUUUUUUAUUUCAAAAUCUUAAGCCAAU
rnacentral:lncRNA from 1 species